AGAGUUUGAUCCUGGCUCAGGACAAACGCUGGCGGCGUGCGUAACACAUGCAAGUCGGACGAGGGGAGCAGUCUUUUCGGAGAGGGCUCUUUCGAGUGGCGGACGGGUGAGUAACACGUGGAUAACCUACCCUGGUGUGGGGGAUACCCUGUAGAAAUACGGGCUAAUACCGCAUGCGGUCGAUCUUGGGGAGCUGAGAU
rnacentral:rRNA from 1 species